CACGUAGGGCGCAAGCGUUGUCCGGAAUUAUUGGGCGUAAAGAGCUCGUAGGCGGUCUGUCGCGUCGAAUGUGAAAACCCGGGGCUCAACCCCGGGCCUGCAUUCGAUACGGGCAGACUAGAGUUCGGUAGGGGAGUCUGGAAUUCCUGGUGUAGCGGUGAAAUGCGCAGAUAUCAGGAGGAACACCGGUGGCGAAGGCGGGACUCUGGGCCGAUACUGACGCUGAGGCGCGAAAGCGUGGGGAGCAAACAGG
rnacentral:rRNA from 1 species